rnacentral:rRNA from 1 species
AGGCGCUGGCGCUGGAGAACGACACCGCGCGUCAGGUGCAGUUGUUUGAAGCCGCCUGCCAGUCGGGAUGGGGCGGUAAACCGGAAGUGCAGACCAUUCGUCGUCUGGUGACCGAAAGUGAAGUGGCGGUGGCGGGGAA